GACACUUCUCAGACAUUACUCCUGAGGCCAUAAAAGCUCAAGAUGGCGACAAGGGCAUCAACACGUCUGUAGUUUACAGCAUAACGACAGUCAUUCCAAAUAAAUACCAGAACAACUUUGAAAUUGAUGUAAAACAGUGGAGUCAUCUCUGUGACGAAGGCGCUAGACAGAGAGGAAACAGAGCAGAUUUCUGUUUUCAUACAGGCAGCUCAGCAGAAUGAUGCCAGGAAGACAGCUGAGACUACGGUACUCAUCACCAUUGUGGAUGUGAAUGACAUUCCGCAGAAAUUUGACCAGGGGGUCCAUUCUUC